GAGCGGCGAACGGGUGAGUAACACGUGAGUAACCUGCCCUUGGCUCUGGGAUAAGCCCGGGAAACUGGGUCUAAUACCGGAUAUGACCAUCGGAUGCAUGUCUGAUGGUGGAAAGUUUUUCGGCUAAGGAUGGGCUCGCGGUCUAUCAGCUUGUUGGUGGGGUGAUGGCCUACCAAGGCGACGACGGGUAGCCGGCCUGAGAGGGUGACCGGCCACACUGGGACUGAGACACGGCCCAGACUCCUACGGGAGGCAGCAGUGGGGAAUAUUGCGCAAUGGGCGAAAGCCUGACGCAGCGACGCCGCGUGGGGGAUGAAGGCCUUCGGGUUGUAAACCUCUUUCACCACCGACGAAGCUAACGUGACGGUAGGUGGGGAAGAAGCGCCGGCUAACUACGUGCCAGCAGCCGCGGUAAUACGUAGGGCGCAAGCGUUGUCCGGAAUUAUUGGGCGUAAAGAGCUCGUAGGCGGUCUGUCGCGUCUGCCGUGAAANCCCGAGGCUUAACCUCGGGCUGGCGGNGGAUACGGGCAGACUAGAGGUAGGUAGGGGAGAAUGGANUCCC
rnacentral:rRNA from 2 species